UUUUCAACUGCUCAUCCAAUGCUCUCUCUCCUCCUCCACCUACCAUAAUUACUUCUCCUAACCUAACCUCUGCAAAUCAUUAACGCCAUCAUUGAGGAAGCUUCAAUGUUGAAGUUUGGAGAAGAAAGCUGGGUGUGAAGAGGUAUUUAGUUUGCAAAAUAAGCUAAGGGAGUAUGGGUCCAAAUAACAAGCAACCCAAGUCAAAGAUUACACAAGAAAAGAAAAGGAAGAGAAAAAAAAAAGAGUAAACUCACCUCAUCUUCGCAGUUUCACGAGCAAAACCAAAGAAAGGGGAAUACUUUCUUUUCCAAGUCAACCCAAUUCAGAACAAGAAUCUCCAAUAUACAAAGGCAAACGUAAUAAGGGAAUUAUGGAGCAAAUUAAAUUAGAGAUCGUAUCUUUUUCUCUAUAACUAAUUUCGAAAAAUUUGAUAAUUGGGGUUUUUGUUCAAUUGGGUAUAAAAAUCCCUUAAUUUCUACAAGAGAGGGGGGCGGCAAAAGGAUAGUUUUCGCACAAUACACGCAAUAGAUAUUAGGUUUUAGUUUUUACAUUCUACUGGUUGAUUGGCCCAAUUGUUAUUGGAGCCGACGACGUUUCAGAUUCUUGUUUCUAGUUUAAUUUGAAGGCCCCUGGUAUUUUUCGUUCCUUGCUUUUAACUGACUUUAGGCUCCGUUUGGUAGGGCGUAAAAUAUUUUCAGUGUAAAAUGAUUUUCAUGGAAAACGAUUUACAAUGGAAACACAAUUCCAAAAUUAGUUUUCUGUUGUUUGGUUACAUGUAAGAAAAAUGAUGAAAUGAAAGGAAAAUGAGAGGGAAAGUAAGGAGGUAGUGAGAGGAGUGUAUAAGAGAGAUAAGGAAAAUAAUUUUCCAUUCAUUUUGAAAGGAAAAUGGUUUUCCAUCAUUGGGAGAGUAAUUUUACCCCAAAGGAAAAUGGUUUUACACUCUUUUGCCAACCAAACAAUGUAAAACUAAAAAUAGAGGAAAAUAGUUUUUCGGGAAUACGUUUUACGCCCUACCAAACGGAGCCUUAAUCUAGUUUUGCUUUAUCAUCUUCUAAAGUUCUACUCAAUCUAUUUUGUUGUUCUUAAUUGUUUGUAAAAGCUUUGUGUACUUUGGCAGCAUCAACGUCAAAUUCGAUCUUGCUUUGUUGCCUAUUUAUUUGCUGCAUCAUUUAGAGGAUCGCGUUUCAAAUUGAAUGGACAAAGGCUUAAACAAUAUCUUGAGUUGCCAGAAGAGAACACGGAAGAAAAUGUAGAGUGUUUGCUAUUCUACGAACCUGAAUAUGAUGACUAAUGGAGUCUAUGCAAGCUGCUUGGAUUUUGCGAAAUAAGGGAGUACGGGCCCAAUAACAAGCAACCCAAGUCUAAGAUUACACAAGAAAAGAAAAGGAAGCCCAAUGCUUCCACAACCACAAUAACAACACAACAAGCAAACAAAAGGUAGAGAAAAAAAAGGAGUAAACUCACCUCAUCUUCGCAAUUUCACGAGCAAAACCAAAGAAAGAGGAAUACUUUCUUUUCCAAGUCAACCCAAUUCAGAGCAAUAAUCUCCAAUAUACGAAGGCAAACAUAAUAAGGGAAUUAUGGAGAAAAUUAGAGAUCGUAUCUUUUUCUCUAUAACUAAUUUCGAAAAAUUUAAUAAUUGGGGUUUUUGUUCAAUUGGGUAUAAAAAUCCCUUAAUUUCUACAAGAGAAGGGGGCGGACAAAAGGAUAGUUUUCGCACAAUACAGACAAUAGAUAUUAGGUUUUAGUUUUUACAUUCUACUGGUUGAUUGGCCAAAUUGUUAUUGGAGCCAACGAUGUUUCAGAUUCUUGUUUCUACUUUAAUUUGAAGACCCCUGGUAUUUUCGUUCCUUGCUUUUGAUUGACUUUAAUCUAGUUUUGCUUUAAUACUCAAUCUAUUUUGUUGUUCUUAAUUGUUGGUAAAGCUUUGUGGACUUUGGAAGCAUCAACUUCAAAUUCGAUCUUGCUUUGUUGCCGAUUUA